UUAAAGCGAAAUAAGGGCGCAUGGUGGAUGCCUAGGGUCUGAGAGGCGAUGAAGGACGUGGUAAGCUGCGAUAAGGCAGGGGGAGCUGCACACGAGCGUAAUAUCCCUGCAUUUCCGAAUGGGACAACCUAAUAUACUGAAGGUAUAUUACUCGAAAGAGAGCCAACCCGGAGAACUGAAACAUCUAAGUACCCGGAGGAAAAGAAAAUAAUAAUGAUUCCCAGAGUAGUGGCGAGCGAAAAGGGAAGAGCCCAAACCGAAAUAGCGUGCUGUUUCGGGGUUGUAGGACUACGUUUAGAAAGUGUUAUCAAAUCGAACCAUCUGGAAAGUUGGGCCAUAGCAGGUGAUAGCCCUGUAGAUAGAAAUUAACAUGGACGAGUAGUAUCCUGAGUAGCGCGGGACCGGAGGAAUCCUGCGUGAAUCUGCCAGCACCAUCUGGUAAGGCUAAAUACUCCUCAGACACCGAUAGUGAACCAGUACCGUAAGGGAAAGGUGAAAAGCACCCUGAACAAGGGAGUGAAAUAGUACCUGAAACCGUGCGCCUACAAGCGGUCGGAGCAUCGUAAGAUGUGACGGCGUGCCUUUUGCAUAAUGAGCCUACGAGUUGCUCCUCACUGGCGAGGUUAAAUUCGUAAACGAAUGGAGCCGUAGCGAAAGCGAGUCCGAAUAGGGCGACUAGUCAGUGGGGGCAGACGCGAAACUUUGUGAUCUAUCCAUGGGCAGGUUGAAGUUCUGGUAACACAGAAUGGAGGACCGAACCCGUUGACGUUGAAAAGUCUUGGGAUGACCUGUGGAUAGGGGUGAAAGGCCAAUCAAACUGAGAGAUAGCUCGUUCUCCCCGAAAUGUUUUUAGGAACAGCCUUGUAUAUAGAAGUUUAACAGAGGUAGAGCUACUGAUUGGGCUAGGGGGCUUCACCGCCUACCAAACCCUGACAAACUCCGAAUGCUGUUAAAUAUCUACAGGAGUGAGGCUGCGGGCGCUAAGGUCCGUGGCCGAGAGGGAAAUAACCCAGACUAGCAACUAAGGUCCCUAAUACGUAGUUAAGUUGAUCAAACGAGGUGGGAUUUCAAUAACAGCCAGGAUGUUGGCUUGGAAGCAGCCAUUCAUUUAAAGAGUGCGUAACAGCUCACUGGUCGAGAGAUCCUGCACGGAAAAUAAUCGGGCAUCAAACUACGAACCGAAGUUCUAGAUUCAGCGUAAGCUGAGUGGUAGGGGAGCAUUGAAAUUGCAUCGAAGCUGUUAGGCGACUAAUGGUGGAGCGAUUUCAAAAGAAAAUGUAGGCAUAAGUAACGAUAAAAGAAGUGAAAAACUUCUUCGCCGAAAGUCUAAGGGUUCCUGAUCAACGUUAAUCGGAUCAGGGUUAGUCUGGUCCUUAGGAAAACCCGAAAGGGGCAUCUGAUGGAAAGAAGGUUAAUAUUCCUUCACCUGCUAUACAUUAAAAGUGACGCAUCGACGUGGUGGUUACGUACUGACAGAAUAGUGCGUAGAGAUGAAUCUUCGGAGGAGUCGAAAUCAUAAAAUUGGUGCCGAGAAAAGCGAGUAUAGCAGCCAGUACCGCAAACCGACACAGGUAGACGGGAUGAGUAUUCUAAGGCGCUCGGGUGAGCCGUGGAGAAGGAACUAGGCAAAUUGACGCUGUAACUUCGGGACAAGGCGUACCGUAGCGAUACGGUCUCAGUAAAAUGAUUCAACCAACUGUUUAACAAAAACACAGGGCCCUGCAAAAUCGAAAGAUGACGUAUAGAGCCUGAAACCUGCCCGGUGCUGGAAGGUUAAGGAAGGAUGUUCGGCGCAAGCCAAAGCUUCUGACUGAAGCCCCAGUAAACGGCGGCCGUAACUAUAACGGUCCUAAGGUAGCGAAAUUCCUUGUCGGGUAAGUUCCGACCUGCACGAAUGGUCUAAUGAGUUGAAUACUGUCUCCUCCACGAGCCCGGUGAAAUUGUAGUAUCGGUGAAGAUGCCGGUUACCCGCCACGGGACGGAAAGACCCCGUGAACCUUCACUACAACUUUGCAUUGAUCUUGAGUAACAAAUGUGUAGGAUAGUUGGGAGACUGUGAAGUAGCUUCGCCAGGAGUUAUGGAGUCAACGUUGAAAUACCAACCUUUUGUUACUUAGGACCUAAUCCUGCAUAAGGAGACAUUGCAUGGUGGGUAGUUUGACUGGGGUGGUCGCCUCCUAAAAAGUAACGGAGGCUUGCAAAGGUACCCUCAGUACGGUUGGUAAUCGUACGUAGAGCGCAUUAGUAUAAGGGUGCUUGACUGUGAGACAAACAAGUCGAUCAGGAGCGAAAGCUGGCUAAAGUGAUCCGGCGGUUCUGUAUGGAAGGGCCGUCGCUCAAAGGAUAAAAGGUACUCCGGGGAUAACAGGCUGAUCUUACCCAAGAGCUCAUAUCGACGGUAAGGUUUGGCACCUCGAUGUCGGUUCGUCACAUCCUGGGGCUGGAGAAGGUCCCAAGGGUUCGGCUGUUCGCCGAUUAAAGUGGCACGUGAACUGGGUUCAGAACGUCGCAAGACAGUUCGGUCCCUAUCUGUGGUGGGCGUUAGGAAAUUGCGGGGACGUGACCUUAGUACGAGAGGACCGGGUCGCAUGUACCGCUGGUGAAUCUGUUAUGCCGCUCGGUGUAUUGCAGAGUAGCUAUGUACAGUCAGGAUAAACGCUGAAAGCAUCUAAGCGUGAAACCUACCUCAAGAUGAGUUUCCUUUUAAGGGUUGUCAAAGACUAUGACGUUGAUAGGCUAUAGAUGUAAAGUUGGUAACAACAAAGUCGAGUAGUACUAAUUACCCGUAAGCUUUAAUUUUU
rnacentral:rRNA from 1 species